rnacentral:rRNA from 1 species
UACGGAGGGGGCUAGCGUUAUUCGGAAUUAUUGGGCGUAAAGGGCGUGUAGGCGGCUCUGUGUGUCCCAUGUGAAAGCCCUCGGCUCAACCGGGGAACUGCAUGGGAAACUGCGGAGCUUGAGUCCGGGAGAGGUGAGUGGAAUUCCCAGUGUAGCGGUGAAAUGCGUAGAUAUUGGGAGGUACACCAGUGGCGAAGGCGGCUCACUGGACCGGUACUGACGCUGAGACGCGAAAGCCAGGGGAGCAAACGGG